rnacentral:lncRNA from 1 species
CCUGACUCAACAACUUCUUAAAAAUAUAACACCUCCAUUCUCCAGGUGGGCUCCUGAUUUCAACUACAACUUAAAGAUAUAACACCUCCAUUCUUCAGGCGGGCUCCUGACUUCAACUACUUCUUAAAAACAUAACACCUCCAUUCUCCAGGCGGGCUCCUGACUUCAAUACUUCUUAAAAUAUAACACCUCUAUUCUCUAUGCGAGCUCCUGACUUCAACUACUUAUUAAAACACAAUACCUCCAUUCUCCAGGCGGGCUCCUGACUUCAACUACUUCUUAAAAAACAUAAAACCUCCAUUCUCCAGGCGGGCUCCUGACUUCAACUACUUCUUAAAAGCAUAAUACCUCCAUUCUCUAGGCGGGCUCCUGACUUCAACUAAUUUCUUAAAAAUAUAACACCUCCAUUCUCCUUGCGAGCUCCUGACUUCGACUACUUCUUAAAACAUAACACCUCCAUUCUCCAGGCGGGCUCCUGACUUCAACU